rnacentral:rRNA from 1 species
CCUACGGGAGGCUGCAGUGGGGGAUAUUGCACAAUGGGGGGAACCCUGAUGCAGCGACGCCGCGUGGGUGAAGAAGCGCCUCGGCGCGUAAAGCCCUGUCUGCAUGGAAGAAAAUGACGGUACCUGAAGAAGAAGCCCCGUCUAACUACGUGCCAGCAGCCGCGGUAAUACGGAGGGGGCAAGCGUUAUCCGGAUUUACUGGGUGUAAAGGGGGCGCAGACGGGGAUGCAAGCCAGGAGUGAACGCCCGGGGCUCAACCCCAGGACUGCUCUUGUAACUGGGUGGCUGGAGUGCAGGAGGGGUAGGCGGAAUUCGUGGUGUAGCGGUGAAAUGCGUAGAUAUCAGGAGGAACACCGGUGGCGAAGGCGGCCUGCUGGACUGCAACUGACGUUGAGGCCCGAAAGCGUGGGGAGCAAACAGGAUUAGAUACCCCAGUAGUC